rnacentral:rRNA from 1 species
AGCGAACGCUGGCGGCAGGCCUAACACAUGCAAGUCGAGCGCCCCGCAAGGGGAGCGGCAGACGGGUGAGUAACGCGUGGGAACGUACCCUUUGGUCUGGAAUAACUCAGGGAAACUUGAGCUAAUACCGGAUAAGCCCUUUUGGGGAAAGAUUUAUCGCCGAAGGAUCGGCCCGCGUCCGAUUAGAUAGUUGGGGUGGUAACGGCGCACCAAGGCGACGAUCGGGAGCUGGUCUGAGAGGAUGAUCAGCCACACUGGGACUGAGACACGGCCCAGACUCCUACGGGAGGCAGCAGUGGGGAAUAUUGGACAAUGGGCGCAAGCCUGAUCCAGCCAUGCCGCGUGAGUGACGAAGGCCUUAGGGUUGUAAAGCUCUUUCACUCGCGACGAUAAUGACGGUAGCGAGAGAAGAAGCCCCGGCUAACUUCGUGCCAGCCGCCGCAGUAAUAC